rnacentral:rRNA from 1 species
GGAGGAAAAGAAACUAACAAGGAUCCCUCUAGUAACGGCGAGUGAAAGGGGAUCAGCCUAAUUUUAAAUCGGUUGCCGUCAGGUAAUCGAGUUGUAAUCUUACGACGCGUAGUCAGUGUGUGGCCUGGGAAUAACUCCCUUGAAAAGGGGGAUCAUAGAGCGUUACAAUCGCGUUCAUGGCCUGGUGCCCAUCACGUACGACUUGCGUUCCAAAGUAAGGG